rnacentral:rRNA from 1 species
AGUGAACGCUGGCGGCAGGCCUAACACAUGCAAGUCGAACGGCAGCACAGUAAGAGCUUGCUCUUACGGGUGGCGAGUGGCGGACGGGUGAGGAAUACAUCGGAAUCUACUUUUUCGUGGGGGAUAACGUAGGGAAACUUACGCUAAUACCGCAUACGACCUACGGGUGAAAGCAGGGGAUCUUCGGACCUUGCGCGAUUGAAUGAGCCGAUGUCGGAUUAGCUAGUUGGCGGGGUAAAGGCCCACCAAGGCGACGAUCCGUAGCUGGUCUGAGAGGGUGAUCAGCCACACUGGAACUGAGACACGGUCCAGACUCCUACGGGAGGCAGCAGUGGGGAAUAUUGGACAAUGGGCGCAAGCCUGAUCCAGCCAUACCGCGUGGGUGAAGAAGGCCUUCGGGUUGUAAAGCCCUUUUGUUGGGAAAGAAAAGCAGCAGGUUAAUACCCCGCUGUUCUGACGGUACCCAAAGAAUAAGCACCGGCUAACUUCGUG